AUAGGGUUUGGAACGCGAAGAGCACCGCACUUACGGCGGUGUCCGGAUCUUCCCCUCGGACCUUGAAAAUCCGGGCGAGGGCCACGAGGAACACCGCGCCGGCUCGUACCCAUAUCCGCAGCAGGUCUCCAAGGUGAAUAGCCUCUAGUCGAUAGAAUAAUGUAGGUAAGGGAAGUCGGCAAACCCGAUCUGUAACUUCGGGAUAAGGAUUGGCUCUGAGGAUCGUGGCGCGCCGGGCUUGGUCGGGAAGUGGAGCGGUGCCAACGUGCCGGGCCUGGGCGAGGUGAAGGACGCUCGUCGUC
rnacentral:rRNA from 1 species